rnacentral:rRNA from 1 species
UACAGAGGGUGCGAGCGUUUAAUCGGAAUUACUGGGCGUAAAGCGUGCGUAGACGGCUAUCUAAGUCGGGUGUGAAAGCCCAGAGCUCAACUCUGGAAUUGCCUUUAAGACUGCAUCGCUUGAAUCAUGGAGAGGUGAGUGGAAUUCCGAGUGUAGAGGUGAAAUUCGUAGAUAUUCGGAAGAACACCAGUGGCGAAGGCGACUCACUGGACAUGUAUUGACGCUGAGGUGCGAAAGCGUGGGGAGCAAACAGG